rnacentral:rRNA from 1 species
CUACGGGUGGCACCAGUUGAGGAAAUUUUACAAUGCACGAAAGUGUGAUAAAAUAAGCCAGAGUGUUUCGUUUUACGAAACUUUUGUCUGCUAUAAAAAGGCAGACGAAUAAGGACUGGGCAAGACCGGUGCCAGCCGCCGCGGUAAUACCGGCGGUCCAAGUCGCAUCCACAUUUAUUGGGUCUAAAACAUCCGUAGCUUGUUUUGUAAGUCUCUUGUGAAAUCUCAUGUCUCAAGCAUGGGGCGUGCAAGAGGUACUGCAUUGCUAGAGACCGGAAGGCGUAAGGAGUACGGUUAAGGUAGCGGUAAAAUGUGUUAAUCUUAAUUGGACUAACAAUGGCGAAGGCACCUUACGAGUACGGAUCUGACAGUGAGGGAUGAAGGCUAGGGGCGCAAAAGGGAUUAGAUACCCCGGUAGUC